GCAGUGGUGGUUCAGUGGUAGGAUUCUUGCCUUCCAUGUGGGAGAUCAGGUGUAAUUCCUGGCCAAUGCA
rnacentral:tRNA from 1 species